rnacentral:rRNA from 1 species
GACGAACGCUGGCGGCGUGCCUAACACAUGCAAGUCGAACGAAGUGAAGAGAGCUUGCUUUUUUCACUUAGUGGCGGACGGGUGAGUAACGCGUGAGUAACCUGCCUUUCAGAGGGGGAUAACGUUUGGAAACGAACGCUAAUACCGCAUGACAUAUACGAUUCGCAUGGAUUGUAUAUCAAAGGAGCAAUCCGCUGAAAGAUGGACUCGCGUCCGAUUAGCUAGUUGGCGGGGUAAAGGCCCACCAAGGCGACGAUCGGUAGCCGGACUGAGAGGUCGAACGGCCACAUUGGGACUGAGACACGGCCCAG